GGAGAGGUGCCGGAGCGGUUGAACGGGCACGACUGGAAAUCGUGUGUGGGCUUUACGGUCCACCGAGGGUUCGAAUCCCUCUCUCUCCG
rnacentral:tRNA from 2 species